rnacentral:rRNA from 1 species
UACGUAGGCAGCGAGCGUUGUUCGGAGUUACUGGGCGUAAAGCGUGCGUAGGCGGUCUUGUAAGUCUGGUGUGAAAUCUCCCGGCUCAACUGGGAGGGUGCGCCGGAAACUGCAAGGCUGGAGUAUGGGAGAGGUAGGCGGAAUUCCUGGUGUAGCGGUGAAAUGCGUAGAUAUCAGGAGGAACACCUGUGGUGUAGACGGCUUACUGGACCAUGACUGACGCUGAGGCACGAAGGCCAGGGUAGCGAACGGG